rnacentral:misc_RNA from 1 species
ACUGACACGACGGCGCGCGUGUGAACAGCUUGAAUGUCCGCCUGCCCGCGACGGGCUGCACGCCGCGCAGCCCGCCAGGCAGCCCGCCGGGUUGCGCGGCGCGCGUGUGAACGUAGCAUAAGAUUGGCCGAUUGCGAUAAAAACCAUAGAAAGAAGAAUAAUAACCAUAACCUCAAAGUCGAAGUUUUAGUUCAAAUGUCAUUUAGUUGUUCAAAUGUCAUUGUCAUUUACUUUGUUUGGAUUACACACAUCAUGCCGAAAAUCCCGAAUCUCCGUGCAUUUGGUAAACAUUGUCACAAUUGUGGAAAGUGGAUGGAGCGAAGGGCUCUUCGUAAAGAUGGUGUGUAGUAUUUUAGUAGUGACAUGCAAUUUUUGUAAUGGCAAAAUAUUUGCAAGAGAUGGCAAACAAAAGCAAAUGUGCAGUCGAUGUGUGGAAUGCGACAACAUUAUACUCGGUCGAUAACGAAGAGUUGAAUGUUAGAACUUAUAAAAAUAUUAUUUACAACUCAUUUCGAGAAGCUGCUCAAGCAAGAGGGCUCCUUUUUGACGAUCAAGAAUGGGAAAGAUGUUUGAAUGAAGCAAUUGAUUUUAAACUUCCUCGGCAAUUAUUUCGAGUUCGAAGAUUCGAUGAUGUAAAAAUUCAAAUUAUCAAUACCACUGAACAAGGCUUGAAAGGUGAUAAAUAUUUAUCGAAAAAUGUUAUAUAUAGAGAAAUUUUGUGAUAAUCAACCUCUGAUGUAUAAUAGAGAAUAUUUUUUUAUAAGUACCUUUGCCAAAUUCUCGGAUAAGUACUCAUUGUAAAAUUACAAUUUACAUACUUCCUAAUAUUAUUCUUGAUUUAGCCAAUUUGGAUAAAGAACCACAAUUUCAUAUUUUAUUUUUAAAAUUAGUAAGUACUUAUCUACCUGUCAAAGUAAAGAAAAAGACUGAGUGCUUAAAACAAAGAGGUUUACACAGAGUAAACCUUAAAAAUUAUAUGUUUUGUUAAUUUGUGUUAGUUUAUUUUGAAUGUUAAUUUGAAAUAAAAAUAAUUUGUGUAAAAACUUUUGCAGUUUUUAUUUAUUAUAUUUAUUAAACAUAACGAACGAAGCUAUACGAAUCUAUGCCUUGAUUAUUCCUUUAAUAUUCCUUGAGACCCGAUGACUACAGAAAUUUCUACCUACAUUUUGCAACUAGACGUGUAUUAUGAGUCAAAUUUCACCCGAGCGAAGCCGGGUUUUCC